AAAUUUGAAAUCUGGCCCCUCCGGGGUCCGAGUUGUAAUUUGCAGAGGAUGCUUCGGGUGCGGCCCCUGUCUAAGUGCCCUGGAACGGGCCGUCAGAGAGGGUGAGAAUCCCGUCUUGGGCAGAGUGCCCGUGCCCGUGUGAAGCUCCUUCGACGAGUCGAGUUGUUUGGGAAUGCAGCUCAAAAUGGGUGGUAAAUUUCAUCUAAAGCUAAAUACCGGCCGGAGACCGAUAGCGCACAAGUAGAGUGAUCGAAAGAUGAAAAGCACUUUGAAAAGAGAGUUAAACAGCACGUGAAAUUGUUGAAAGGGAAGCGCUUGCAACCAGACUCGGCCUCGGGGUUCAGCCAGCAUUCGUGCUGGUGUACUUCCCCGGGGCCGGGCCAGCGUCGGUUUGGGCGGCCGGUCAAAGGCCCCAGGAAUGUAUCGUCCUCCGGGACGUCUUAUAGCCUGGGGUGCAAUGCGGCCAGCCUGGACCGAGGAACGCGCUUCGGCACGGACGCUGGCGUAAUGGUCGCAAACGAC
rnacentral:rRNA from 1 species